UAGCAAGUCUUAGCGGGAGGGAGUCU
rnacentral:piRNA from 1 species